GUAGUCUUUGUUCGGUUUGGUGGUUGCCCGGUGGGCCGGAGACGCACCGUAGAAACCAAACCCUCUUACCCAAUUGGACGCCGUCCCCAAGAGACACAUCUCAAUUCAAAGGCAGCUUGCUGAUCUAGAGAAGUUAGCUUUUGUAACUGAAGGAAAUUUUGACUCUGCCAGCUCAUUGAACUCAGAUAAUCUUGAUGCAGGCAACAGACAGGCUUGUCCAUUGUGCCCUAAGGAAAAAUUCAGAGCUUGUAAUAGCCAUAAGCUUCGUCGUCACCUCCAGAAUUUACACUGGAAAGUCUCAGUUGAAUUUGAAGGUUACAGGAUGUGCAUCUGUCACUUACCUUGUCGACCAGUGAAACCAAACAUUAUUGGAGAACAGAUAACCAGUAAAAUGGGAGCCCAUUAUCAUUGUAUCAUUUGUUCAGCAACAAUCACCAGAAGAACUGAUAUGCUAGGACAUGUUAGGCGCCACAUGAAUAAAGGAGAGACUAAAUCUAGUUAUGUUGCAGCUUCCACUGCUAAACCACCUAAGGAAAUUUUGAAAGAGGCAGACACGGAUGUACAAGUUUGUCCCAACUAUUCUAUACCUCAGAAAACAGAUUCCUAUUUUAACCCCAAA
rnacentral:sRNA from 1 species